AACGGUCUAUACCUGCGGUACCUGCGGAGGGAUCAUUACAGAGUUUACAACUCCCAAACCCACUGUGAACCUUACAGCGUCGUUGCCUCGGCGGACCGCCCCCGGCGCGGCCCCCCUCGGGGGGGCGCCCGGGACCACGGCGCCCGCCGGAGGACCCAAACUCUUGUAUUUGCAGGAUGCAUUGCUCUGAGUGAAAACAAGCAAAUGAAUCAAAACUUUUAACAAUGGAUCUCUAGAUCG
rnacentral:misc_RNA from 1 species